rnacentral:rRNA from 1 species
GACGAACGCUGGCGGCGUGCUUAACACAUGCAAGUCGAACGGAAAGGCCCUGCUUUUGUGGGGUGCUCGAGUGGCGAACGGGUGAGUAACACGUGAGUAACCUACCUUGACUUUGGGGUAACUUCAGGAAACUGGGGCUAAUACCGGAUAGGAGCUCCUGCUGCAUGGUGGGGGUUGGAAAGUUUCGGCGGUUGGGGAUGGACUCGCGGCUUAUCAGCUUGUUGGUGGGGUAGUGGCUUACCAAGGCUUUGACGGGUAGCCGGCCUGAGAGGGUGACCGGCCACAUUGGGACUGAGAUACGGCCCAGACUCCUACGGGAGGCAGCAGUGGGGAAUAAUGCACAAUGGGCGGAAGACUGAUGCAGCAACGCCGCGUGCGGGAUGACGGCCUUCGGGUUGUAAACCGCUUUCGCCUGUGACGAAGCGUGAGUGACGGUAAUGGGUAAAGAAGCACCGGCUAACUACGUG